rnacentral:rRNA from 1 species
AACCAGCACCUCAAGUGGUCAGGAGGAUUAUUGGGCCUAAAGCAUCCGUAGCCUGUUCUAUAAGUUUGCGGUUAAAUCUAUACGCUCAACGUAUAGGCUGCCGUAAAUACUGUAGAACUAGGGAGUGGGAGAGGUAGACGGUACUCGAUAGGAAGGGGUAAAAUCCUUCGAUCUAUUGAUGACCACCUGUGGCGAAGGCGGCUCACUGGCUCGAUACUGACGCUGAGGUACGAAAGUGUGGGGAGCAAACAGG